AUUGAACGCUGGCGGCAGGCUUAACACAUGCAAGUCGAGCGGUAACAGAGAGAAGCUUGCUUCUCUGCUGACGAGCGGCUGACGGGUGAGUAAUGCCUAGGAAUCUGCCUAGUAGUGGGGGAUAACUUGCCGAAAGGUAAGCUAAUACCGCAUACGACCUACGGGAGAAAGGAGGGGACCUUCGGGCCUUUCGCUAUUAGAUGAGCCUAGGUCGGAUCAGUUAGUUGGUGAGGUAAUGGCUCACCAAGACCGCGAUCCGUAACUGGUCUGAGAGGAUGAUCAGUCACACUGGAACUGAGACACGGUCCAGACUCCUACGGGAGGCAGCAGUGGGGAAUAUUGGACAAUGGGGGGAACCCUGAUCCAGCCAUGCCGCGUGUGUGAAGAAGGUCUUAGGAUUGUAAAGCACUUUAAGUUGGGAGGAAGAGCAGUUAACUAAUAUUUGACUGUUUUGACGUUACCGACAGAAUAAGCACCGGCUAACUUCGUGCCAGCAGCCGCCGUAA
rnacentral:rRNA from 1 species